rnacentral:misc_RNA from 1 species
UCCGAGUUGACCCCGGCAGUCUCCCAUGAGUCCCCGGCAUAACCCGCUGGCAACAUGGAACGAGGGUUGCGCUCGUUGCGGGACUUAACCCAACAUCUCACGACACGAGCUGACGACAGCCAUGCACCACCUGUAUACCGACCACAAGGGGGGCCGUAUCUCUACGGCUUUCCGGUAUAUGUCAAACCCAGGUAAGGUGGGGAUGACGUUAGUCAGUCAA